rfam:Vagococcus lutrae LBD1 adhBo-supercont1.20, whole genome shotgun sequence.
GGUAGUCUGUGAUGUUCGCGUUAGACCACUUCAGUGUUGACCGAACAUAUUAGUAUUAUAUUGGGAUUCAACGAGCCCAAGAAGAAAACAUGCCUUAUCACUUGGUAGUUUGACGCUUGGACAGAGAAGCCCACCUGCUUACUUUGCGGGUUCAAUACUACGGUUUAACUAACGGCAUCGACGGAUUUUCC